rnacentral:snoRNA from 1 species
AUUGACAUCUGCGGCAAGGAUCUUCCAAAGCUCACAAAGUCUGUGUUGUGAUCACCUUUGUCUCUGCUUGAACAUCAGAGAUCGGAGUUGAAAAGCAACACAACAUUU